AAAAUUUAGUUAGAAUUUUAUUUUUUAGUUAAAAAGCUAAAAUAUAUUCAAAAGACGAGAAGACCCUAUAAAUCUUGAUUAUUUAGUAAUUUUUAGUUUAUUUUGAUUUUUUUUAUUAUAAAUUUAUUAAUUAAUUUUAUUGGGGUGAUAUUAAAAUUUAAAUAACUUUUAAUAAUUUUUAUCAUUUAUUUAUGAUUAAGUGAUCCAUUAUUAGUGAUUAGAAAAUUAAGUUACUUUAGGGAUAACAGCGUAAUUUUUUUGGARAGUUCUUAUCGAUAAAAAAGUUUGCGACCUCGAUGUUGGAUUAAGAUUCAUAUUUAAAUGUAGAAGUUUAAAUAUAAAGUCUGUUCGAC
rnacentral:rRNA from 1 species